CCUACGGGUAGCAGCAGUGAGGAAUCUUUGUCAAUGGACGGAAGUCUGAUCCCGCCAUGCCGCGUGCAGGAAGACGGCUCUAUGAGUUGUAAACUGCUUUUGUACAAGGGUAAACCUGAAUACGUGUAUUCAGCUAACAGUACUGUACGAAUAAGGAUCGGCUAACUCCGUGCCAGCAGCCGCGGUAAUACGGAGGAUCCAAGCGUUAUCCGGAUUUAUUGGGUUACAAGGGUGCGUAGGCGGAUUGAUAAGUUAGAGGUGAAAUGUCCGAGCUGAACUCGGGAACUGCCUCUAAUACUGUUGAUCUAGAGGGUAGGUGCGGUAGGCGGAAUGUAUGGUGUAGCGGUGAAAUGCUUAGAGAUCA
rnacentral:rRNA from 1 species